rnacentral:rRNA from 1 species
UGGGGAAUAUUGCACAAUGGGCGCAAGCCUGAUGCAGCCAUGCCGCGUGUAUGAAGAAGGCCUUCGGGUUGUAAAGUACUUUCAGCGGAGGAGGAGGCGACAGUAAUACUUGUCGAUUGACGUUACUCGCAGAAGAAGCACCGGCUAACUCCGUGCCAGCAGCCGCGGUAAUACGGAGGGUGCAAGCGUUAAUCGGAAUUACUGGGCGUAAAGCGCACGCAGGCGGUUUGUUAAGUCAGAUGUGAAAUCCCCGGGCUCAACCUGGGAACUGCAUUUGAAACUGGCAAGCUUGAGUCUUGUAGAGGGGGGUAGAAUUCCAGGUGUAGCGGUGAAAUGCGUUAGAGAUCUGGAGGAAUACCGGUGGCGAAGGCGGCCCCCUGGACAAAGACUGACGCUCAGGUGCGAAAAGCGUGGGGAGCAAACA